rnacentral:rRNA from 1 species
CAGCCGCCGCGGUAAAACGUAGGUGGCAAGCGUUGUCCGGAAUUAUUGGGCGUAAAGGGCUCGCAGGCGGUUUCUUAAGUCUGAUGUGAAAGCCCCCGGCCCAACCGGGGAGGGUCAUUGGAAACUGGGAAACUUGAGUGCAGAAGAGGAGAGUGGAAUUCCACGUGUAGCGGUGAAAUGCGUAGAGAUGUGGAGGAACACCAGUGGCGAAGGCGACUCUCUGGUCUGUAACUGACGCUGAGGAGCGAAAGCGUGGGGAGCGAACAGGAUUAGAUACCCCGGUAGUCCCUGUCUCUUAUAC